AUAUUGGACAAUGGGCGCAAGCCUGAUCCAGCCAUGCCGCGUGAGUGAAGAAGGCCUNNNGGUUGNACAGCUCUUUCACCCGCNAAGNUGAUGACGGUAGCGGGAGAAGAAGCCCCGGCUAACUCCGUGCCAGCAGCCGCGGUAAUACGGAGGGGGCAAGCGUUGUUCGGAUUUACUGGGCGUAAAGGGCGCGUAGGCGGAUGUCCGCGUCAGAGGUGAAAGCCCCGGGCUCAACCUGGGAACUGCCUUUGAAACGGGACAUCUUGAGUUCGGAAGAGGGUAGCGGAAUUCCCAGUGUAGAGGUGAAAUUCGUAGAUAUUGGGAAGAACACCAGUAGCGAAGGCGGCUACCUGGUCCGACACUGACGCUGAGGCGCGAAAGCGUGGGGAGCAAAC
rnacentral:rRNA from 1 species